rnacentral:lncRNA from 10 species
GGAACCGGCUCGCGAGCGCAGCUAUGGCUGCUGGCGUACCCUGUGCGUUAGUCACCAGCUGCUCCUCCGUCUUCUCAGGAGACCAGCUGGUCCAACGUGAGUAGAUAGGCGCCUGGGCCGACCUCCAAGGCCCCUGAGCCUCAGCGGGCGACGGACCCAGCACCACGGCCUCUCUGGGCCUUGUCCCCGCAGCGGGCCCUGCGUUCUUCCUCCAGUCAGUGGAGGCGCCCAGUCUCCCCAGGUGGCUGCCCCUAUCUCUUAAUCUCGUGCUUUUCUGCCCACUCGGCCUUCUUCGGCGUUCCUUUCGGCUUCCUGUGUAAAGUGAGACUGAUUUCCCGCUCUGCUCAGCCCAGGCCACAGGUUUUUGCGAGGAUCCGUUGAGAUGAACCUGAAGGCUCUCCGGAAAUUGCGCUAGGUUACAGGAGUAUAUCCUUGGAACAGAAGAUCUUAUUGUGGAAGUGACUUCCAAUGAUGCUGUGAGAUUUUAUCCCUGGACCAUUGAUAAUAAAUACUAUUCAGCAGACAUCAA